CUAGCCUGUUUCGGUCGCUGCCAAUUCAGCGAUCGGGUCUGGAAACCCGGAUG
rnacentral:ncRNA from 1 species